rnacentral:rRNA from 1 species
GACGAACGCUGGCGGCGGGCUUAACACAUGCAAGUCGAACGGAAGCGCCCUGCUUUUGUGGGGUGCUCGAGUGCCGAACGGGUGAGUAACACGAGAAUAACCUGCCCUUGACUUUGGGGUAACAUCAGGAAACUGGGGCUACUACCGUAUAGGAGCUCCUGCUGCGGGGAGGGGGUGGGAAAGUUGGGGCGGUUGUGGAUGGACUAGCGGCUGAUCAGCUUGUUGGUUGGGUAGUGGUUUACCAAGGCUUUGACCGGUAGCCGGCCUGGGUGGGUGACCGGCGACAUUGGGACUGAGAUAGGGCGCAGAGUCCUACGGGGGGCAGCGGGGGGGAGUAUUGCACAAUGGGCGGAAGUCUGAUGCAGAAGCGCCGCGUGCGGGAUGACGGCCUUCGGGUUGUAAACCGCUUUCGCCUGUGACGAAGCGUGAGUGACGGUAAUGGGUAAAGAAGCACCGGCUAACUACGUG